rnacentral:lncRNA from 1 species
GCCCUAUACAGGUGUACCAUUUUUAAAAUCUUUCAUACUGUACUUUUGCUGUACCUUUUCUACGUUCAGACAUGUUUAGAUACACAAAUAUUUACCAUUGUGUUACAAUUGCUUGCAGUAUUCAGUAUGGUCACUUGCCGUACAGGUUUGUAGCCUAGGAGCAAACAACAGCCUGUACCAUAUAGCGUAGGCGUGUAAGAGGCUAUACCAUAUAGGUGUGAGUACACUCUAAGAUGUUCACACAAGAAACUCGCCUAAGACAUUUCUCAGGAGGUAAUCCUGUCAUCUUAAAUGAUGCAUGACUGUAAGAUCUACGGCUGAGUGCCUAACUGUAUAUCGAGAAAUAACGCUCUAUUUCAUCCGUCUUCCGAUAUUGAACUUUAACUGACCAUCAGACCGGCCUGAAUACCAGAAUCUCUUUGCAAUGCACUCGCCUCGCUCAUUACCAGAAGGAGGUUUUACCUGCCUAGUGACCUGGUUGGUCUGGGCAUGAACCCCGAGAGGUGGAAACUCUCAGACUCUCAGGACUGACAGCCGAGUGGCUGGGGACUAUAAAUCCGCGAGAACUGCCCUCGCGCUGCCAUCCAGCUGGGUAGCCGGGGGAGCGCGCGUGGGGGCUCCGCGAGUCGCUCGCCCUUGGUUUCUGGGGAAGCCUGGGGGACGCGGCUGUGGCGGAGGCGCCCUGGGACUCAGGUCGCCUGGAGCGUGGCACGCAGAGCCCCAGGCGCGGAGCUGAGGCCGCGCGGCCGCGCUUGGCCCCAGCGGGCGUGGGACUGAGCAGUCUGCUGCCCCCCGACAUGUGACCCAGCCCCGCCGCCCAUGCGGGCUCCCGGCCGCCCGGCCCUGCGGCCGCUGCCGCUGCCGCCGCUGCUGCUGUUGCUCCUGGCGGCGCCUUGGGGACGGGCAGAAUUCCUUUUGAUGUAGAAACUCAGAGUUGACAGGACCUUAAAAGUCACCCCACCCAGCUGCCACUCUCUUGAUUGUCCUCUGCAGCAUCACUUCCAAGUAAUGACCUGUCUGCUGUGUGAGCACCUCUCAUCACAGGAUACUCACUACCCUGCACCCAGGCAGGCAGGAUGUCCUGUCACUGCAGAUUUCAACUAUUAAAAAGUUCUUUGAUAAAAUGAGCUGAGCCUUGAUCCUUCAAUUUUCACUCACUGUUAGUCCUCAUUCUAAGCCAAUGAAGUCAUGCUGGACAAGCUGUUCAGAUCAUUGAAUUCAACCAUCACAUUUCCUCUGUGUCUUCUUUCCUCUCCAGAAAACCACCUCCCCAGAAAACUGCUAGGUGCCUUCUCUCUCCCAGUAUUUCCAGUAUAUGUUCCAGUUUGUUUGCAAUAUCUCGG